ensembl:ncRNA F42A10.11 ncRNA
AAAAAGAUUCGCAGUCAGCAGGAUUCGAACCUACGCGGACAGAGCCCAUUUGAUUUCGAGUCAAACUCCUUAACCACUCGGACAUUCUUAACCACUCGGACAUGACUGCACGUUUUG